GACGAACCUUGCUAACGUUAUUCGGAAUUACUGGGCUUAAAGGGUUUGUAGGCGGCCUUGUAAGUCAGGUGUGAAAUCCCUCGGCUCAACCGAGGAAUGGCGCUUGAUACUGCACGGCUUGAGGGAGACAGGGGUAAGCGGAACUGAUGGUGGAGCGGUGAAAUGCGUAGAGAUCGGGAGGAACAUCAGUGGCGAAGGCGGCCAUCUGGGACAACACUGACGCUGAAGCACGAAAGCGUGGGGAGCAAACAGG
rnacentral:rRNA from 1 species